rfam:Triticum aestivum genome assembly, contig: Triticum_aestivum_CS42_TGACv1_scaffold_213318_3AS
AUCAUACUCCCUUUGUCCGGAAAUACUUGUCGGAGCAAUGCAUAAAAAUAGAUGUAUCUAGAACUAAAAUACAUCUAGAUACAUUCAUUUCUCCGACAAGUAUUUCCGGACGAAGGGAGUAGUUA